UACGGGGGGGGCAAGCGUUGUUCGGAAUUACUGGGCGUAAAGGGCGCGUAGGCGGCCUUCUAAGUCAGACGUGAAAUCCCUCGGCUCAACCGAGGAACUGCGUCUGAUACUGGAAGGCUUGAAUCCGGGAGAGGGAUGUGGAAUUCCAGGUGUAGCGGUGAAAUGCGUAGAUAUCAGGAAGAACACCCGUGGCUAAGGCGGCUCUCUAGUACGGUACUGACGCUGAGACGCGGAAGCGUGGGGAGCAAACAGG
rnacentral:rRNA from 1 species